GGACCUUAACCUCCCUGCCGAGAGUCCUGGGAGACUGCAGUAGGCGUCGCUCAGCUAGUUUGGAACUGACCCCGGGGUGGCUUGAGAACUCUCUCUUCCUAAACCAACUUCGGUUUCCUUUCUGGAACAAGAUAAUGAGCCUUGGCUUGUUGAGAAGGAGUCAUCAAAAGCCCUAUACUCAGAUAUGAAAUCCCAAUGUGCAACAACAAAGGACUUAUUAUCAUCAAAGGAUGACAAUUAUGAAAUAAAAUUAUCUCAAAGGAAGAUAAUGGAAAGAAUUACAAACUAUGACUUUGGAUAUUCCACUUUCAAGACGAUUGGAAGUAUAAUCACCAUUUUCAGAUACAACAGAGAAAUCAAGAAGAAUAUCUUAAAGCUGUGACAGUCACCCAUGAAAAUAUGCAAAGUCUCAGUCAACAAAUAUCCUAUAGCUUACAUCAGAUAUAUCAUACUAGGCAAAAACCCUAUGAAUUCAGACAAUGUGGUAAAGUCUUUAAUUACCACUCACUGCUAAUUUACCAUGGGAGAAAUCACACUGAAGAAAAAUGCUAUGAAUGUAAGGAUCGUGGAAAGGCUCUUAGCAGUUUCUCAAAACUUAUAGACAUCACAGAAUUCAUAAUGGAGAAAACUCUAUGACAGUAAUGAGAGUUGGAAAGCUCUCCACCACCCCUCAAAUCUCAUUUGACAUCACAGAAUUCAUACUGGAGAAAGACCCCAUGAAUGUAAGGAAUGUGGAAAGGCUUUAGUUAUGGCUCACACCUCACUCUACACCAGAGAAUUCAUACUGGAGAGAAACCCUAGGAAUGCAAAGAAUGUAGAAAAGCUUUCAGUUACCACUCAUCCCUCCUUUGAUAUGAAAAAACACAUACUAAAGAAAAGCGCUAUGAAUAUAAAGACUGUGGGAAGGCUUUUAGCAACAGCUCAAUUCUUAA